UGGGGAAUUUUGCACAAUGGGGGAAACCCUGAUGCAGCGACGCCGCGUGAUUUAGAAGGCCUUCGGGUUGUAAAAAUCUUUUCUAUGGGAAGAAAAUGACAGUACCAUAGGAAUAAGGACCGGCUAAUUACGUGCCAGCAGCCGCGGUAAUACGUAAGGUCCGAGCGUUGUCCGGAAUCAUUGGGCGUAAAGGGUACGUAGGCGGGUAAGCAAGUUAGAAGUGAAAUCCUAUAGCUCAACUAUAGUAAGCUUUUAAAACUGCUCAUCUUGAGGUAUGUAAGGGAAAGUGGAAUUCCUAGUGUAGCGGUGAAAUGCGAAGAUAUUAGGAGGAAUACCGGUGGCGAAGGCGACUUUCUGGCCAUAACCUGACGCUGAGGUACGAAAGCGUAGGUAGCAAACAGG
rnacentral:rRNA from 1 species